GUGUCAGCCGCCGCGGUAAGACGAGGGAUCCAAGCGUUGUUCGGAAUUAUUGGGCGUAAAGCGGGUGUAGGUGGCUAUGUAAGUCAGGUGUGAAAGCCCAGGGCUCAACCCUGGAAGUGCAUUUGAUACUGCGUAGCUUGAGUGUGGGAGAGGAUAGUAGAAUUCCUGGUGUAGUGGUGAAAUACGUAGAUAUCAGGAGGAAUACCGGAGGCGAAGGCGGCUAUCUGGCCCAACACUUACACUCAGACCCGAAAGCGUGGGGAUCAAACAGGAUUAGAAACCCUGGUAGUCC
rnacentral:rRNA from 1 species